GCUCUCGUAGCUUAAUGGAUAGAGUACUGCCCUCCGAAGGCAGUGGUGCCAGUUCGAUUCUGGCCGGGAGCA
rnacentral:tRNA from 1 species